rnacentral:rRNA from 1 species
CUCCUUCGGGAGUGGAUUAGCGGCGGACGGGUGAGUAACACGUGGGCAACCUGCCUCAAAGUGGGGAAUAGCCCUCCGAAAGGAGGAUUAAUACCGCAUAAUAUGAAAGAAUCGCAUGGUACUUUCAUUAAAGAUUUAUCGCUUUGAGAUGGGCCCGCGGCGCAUUAGCUAGUUGGUGAGGUAAGGGCUCACCAAGGCGACGAUGCGUAGCCGACCUGAGAGGGUGAUCGGCCACAUUGGAACUGAGACACGGUCCAGACUCCUACGGGAGGCAGCAGUGGGGAAUAUUGCGCAAUGGGGGAAACCCUGACGCAGCAACGCCGCGUGAGUGAUGAAGGUCUUCGGAUUGUAAAACUCUGUCUUCAGGGACGAUAAUGACGGUACCUGAGGAGGAAGCCACGGCUAACUACGUGCCAGCAGCCGCGGUAAUACGUAGGUGGCAAGCGUUGUCCGGAUUUACUGGGCGUAAAGAGUAUGUAGGCGGAUAUUUAAGUCAGAUGUGAAAUUCCCGGGCUUAACCUGGGAGCUGCAUUUGAAACUGGAUAUCUAGAGUGCAGGAGA